GCCGGAGUGGUGGAAUGGCAGACGCGCCGGACUCAAAAUCCGGUGGGGGUAACCCCGUGGGGGUUCAAGUCCCCCCUCCGGCACCA
rnacentral:tRNA from 1 species